GACGAACGCUGGCGACGUGCUUAACACAUGCAAGUCGAACGGAAAGGCCCUGCUUUUGUGGGGUGCUCGAGUAGCGAACGGGUGAGUAACACGUGAGUAACCUGCCCUUGACUUUGGGAUAACUUCAGGAAACUGGGGCUAAUACCGGAUAGGAGCUCCUGCUGCAUGGUGGGGGUUGGAAAGUUUCGGCGGUUGGGGAUGGACUCGCGGCUUAUCAGCUUGUUGGUGGGGUAGUGGCUUACCAAGGCUUUGACGGGUAGCCGGCCUGAGAGGGUGACCGGCCACAUUGGGACUGAGAUACGGCCCAGACUCCUACGGGAGGCAGCAGUGGGGAAUAUUGCACAAUGGGCGGAAGCCUGAUGCAGCAACGCCGCGUGCGGGAUGACGGCCUUCGGGUUGUAAACCGCUUUCGCCUGUGACGAAGCGUGAGUGACGGUAAUGGGUAAAGAAGCACCGGCUAACUACGUG
rnacentral:rRNA from 1 species